UACGGAGGGGGCUAGCGUUGUUCGGAAUCACUGGGCGUAAAGCGCACGUAGGCGGACCAGCCAGUCAGGGGUGAAAUCCCAAGGCUCAACCUUGGAACUGCCUUUGAUACUGUUGGUCUUGAGGUCGAGAGAGGUGAGUGGAAUUCCUAGUGUAGAGGUGAAAUUCGUAGAUAUUAGGAAGAACACCAGUGGCGAAGGCGGCUCACUGGCUCGAUACUGACGCUGAGGUGCGAAAGCGUGGGGAGCAAACAGG
rnacentral:misc_RNA from 1 species